AGCCCUGUGAGGACACAGCGAGAAGGUGGUGGUCUGCAAGCCAGGAAGGGGAGCCUCGUUAGAAACCAGCCCUGGCAAUUCGAUCUUGCUUGAACUUGUGGCCUCCAGAACCGUGAGAAAUAGAUUCCUAUUGUUUAAGCCACCCUGUGUAUGGCAUUCUGUUAUGGCAGCCCAAGGAGACAAUGUUGUACUGAAUCAAGCAUCCAGGGACAGUUUACCUUGCCAGAAAAGGGCGCAGAAAGAUCUUCUGGGGCUAAGCAGAAGCAGACACUGAUGCAGAAGUUCUAACUGGGACUCUGAAUCAAGGUUAUGGUAAAGACCUCAGGGAUCUUGGGAAGGC